AGACSACYUMAAGCGUUAUCCGGAAUCAUUGGGCGUAAAGCGUACCGAUAGGUGGUUUACAAAGUCAGAGGUGAAAUCUCAAGGCUCAACCUUGAGUCUGUCCUUUGAUACUUGUAAACUUGAGGGGCAAAGAGGAAGCCGGAACAAACGGUGUAGUAGUGAAAUGCGUUGAUAUCGUUUGGAACACCAAUAGCGAAGGCAGGCUUCUGGGUGCCACCUGACACUGCUAGGACGAAAGCGUGGGGAGCGAAUGGGAUUAGAUACCCCAGUAGUCCACGCUGUAAACGAUGCACGUUCGGUGCUAGGGAGUAUCGACCCUCCUUAGUACCAAAGCUAACGCGUUAAACGUGCCGCCUGGGGAGUACGGCCGCAAGGCUA
rnacentral:rRNA from 1 species